rnacentral:rRNA from 1 species
GNAAAANNCNGCNGNCGACGAUUCCUACGGGAGGCAGCAGUAGGGAAUUUUCCGCAAUGGGCGCAAGCCUGACGGAGCAAUACCGCGUGAGGGAUGACGGCCUGUGGGUUGUAAACCUCUUUUUUCAAGGAGGAAGUUCUGACGUGUACUUGAAGAAUAAGCAUCGGCUAACUCCGUGCCAGCAGCCGCGGUAAGACGGAGGAUGCAAGUGUUAUCCGGAAUCACUGGGCGUAAAGCGUCUGUAGGUGGUUUAGUAAGUCAGUUGUUACAAAUUGAAGCUUAACUUCAACCCAGCAAUCGAUACUGCUAAACUUGAGUAUAGUAGAGGUAAAAGGAAUUUCCAGUGGAGCGGUGAAAUGCGUAGAUAUUGGAAAGAACACCGAUGGCGAAGGCAUUUUACUGGGCUAUAACUGACACUCAGAGACGAAAGCUAGGGUAGCAAAUGGGAUUAGAUACCCCAGUAGUCCUAGCCGUAAACGAUGGAUACUAGAUGUUGCACGUAUCGACUCGUGCAGUGUCAAAGCUAACGCGUUAAGUAUCCCGCCUGGGGAGUAUGCUCGCAAGGGUGAAACUCAAAGGAAUUGACGG